CUGGAGCCCAGGGCGGCUCUGCUGCUUUUGACACAGGGCUCAGGACAGGCCCUGGGGAUGGUGGCUCUGGCACCGGAGUCAGGAGGAGAGUGGCUGCCCACAGUGUUGGCCAGAGCCUUGGUGCCAUGAAAAGGGAAACCUGCCAUGCAGGGAGCCCAUGGGAUGUGCUAGGGAGUCUCCAGUCCCCUGAUUGGAGGGCAAUGCCCAGGGGCCUCUUGUUUUCAUCCAGCAUUCACUUCCCAUGUAUUGUUCUGGAAGAGCAGAAAGGAAAGGCUCACAGACUGGCCGUGCACGUGAAAACUGCAUCCUCAGAAUGAACUCCUGCCAAUAGCAGCACCAGGACCCUCCAAAAGGGAUUGGGAGGUGCUCUGCAGAUGUCACUGAGCAGUGACUCCUCUCACUGCUGAGGGACAGGGAUGGAACUGGUGGCUCCUGGCAGCACAGCCAGGUGACAUUGCAGCAUUUCAGGGUGGGCUCCUCUGGCUGGACAUGGUGAACUAAUGGGGAAAAGCAGCACAAGAGACUCGGCUGAACUUUUACCCCUGCAUGAAAUAAUAAGGUUGUAUUUACCCAGCAUCUGGAUUGCUGAAAAUAACCCUCUAAAUUUA